rnacentral:rRNA from 1 species
UACAGAGGGUGCGAGCGUUAAUCGGAAUUACUGGGCGUAAAGCGCACGUAGGUGGCGACGUAAGUCGGGUGUGAAAUCCCCGGGCUCAACCCGGGAACUGCGUCCGAUACUGGCGGGCUUGAAUCCGGGAGAGGGAUGCGGAAUUCCAGGUGUAGCGGUGAAAUGCGUAGAUAUCUGGAGGAACACCGGUGGCGAAGGCGGCAUCCUGGACCGGCAUUGACGCUGAGGCGCGAAAGCCAGGGGAGCAAACGGG